CAGUAGCCGCGGUAAUACGUAGGGUGCAAGCGUUAAUCGGAAUUACUGGGCGUAAAGCGUGCGCAGGCGGUUCGGAAAGAAAGAUGUGAAAUCCCAGGGCUCAACCUUGGAACUGCAUUUUUAACUACCGGACUAGAGUAUGUCAGAGGGAGGUGGAAUUCCACGUGUAGCAGUGAAAUGCGUAGAUAUGUGGAGGAACACCGAUGGCGAAGGCAGCCUCCUGGGAUAAUACUGACGCUCAUGCACGAAAGCGUGGGGAGCAAACAGGAUUAGAUACCCGUGUAGUCCCUGUCUCUUAUAC
rnacentral:rRNA from 1 species